AAGGCGGGCGCGGCCCCCGGCAUCGCCGCGCCGUGGUAGGCGCCUCCGGGGGCGGGCUGUGGCCCGGCUCGGGGAGCGGAGCCUGCCGGUACUCGUGCGGCCCUGCGGGGCUGUCCGUCUCCGGGUCGCUCCUUUGCAGCUCUUCCCGCUUCGGCUUUUCCUUCGUGUUCGCGCAGCGCUCUGUUGGCGGGGCUGGCGGACAAAGGGCGGUGUGGGAGCGGGGUUGUCGGGCUGAGCCUGGCGGGGCAGCUGCCUGAUGUGCGCCCGUCUGAGUCCUGUGCCGGGGAGAGCUGGGGAGAAAGGCGAGGCUUUGUGCUUUGGAGCCCCGUCCUGCGGCCUCGCUGGGCGGUGAGGGGCCCGUCCUGUGCUGGGGAGGGCGUGGGAGAGCACAGGGAGACCAGCGGCAGGGAGAGCUGCAGGUUGGCAUAACGGCCCUGCGGGUUUAACUGAAACGAGGGGUGAAACGCCACUCUUAGUUCUUCAGUGAAGUGCUACAGCACAUAACGUUGGAUUUCUUUCAUAUAGCUUGUUAUAAGAACAUACGUUGUAUAAUCAAUGAGUAUAUAGACGUAAAAUCAGUGACAAUACAGAGAAGAAUACUGGGCUUACCAAAAAAAAGACUCCACGAGGAGCCAUCUCCAGGGAGAGACCCCUCCCCAGCGGCAGUCAGCCCUGGAAUGGGCUCUAGCAGAGGUGCAGCCUGGCUGCAGCCCUUCCACUCACACAGCUCAACUGCCUUCACCUGUGCUCCCACGGCUGACUCAGCGCUCGCCUCAGGUGGUCAAUCAGAGGUUCAGGCCGUGAUUCAACAGUUCCUGUACAUACAUCCACUGAAAAACGUGGAGUUUAUGCAGAUAAAAGCCACAUGCGUUGUGGUAACUGCCUUUUUACUUGUGUAUCUACAGGGAGCAGCACGCCAGCACUGUUUCCUAGAACCUGUCGCUUACUGUGCAGUGCUUGUAUCAUCAGCCCUACAGUGUACCUCCUCAAGGCUGGUGAAAUGCUGAGGCUCUACUUUUAGGCUCCAGAAGUCCUGCUUAUCUAGGACAGAGAGUCUUCUCUAGACAAAAUACCAGUCGGCUGAAGAGUUUGAACUCAUUGCUAAAGGCUCUGAACUUAUUGCCAGGUAUGAAUAUGAGGAUUUAUAGGGUUUUUGCAAGAUGGGAUCGCACAAAGAUCGCAAGCUAUCAUUUGUGACUGCAGCAAGACUGUACUGCUGCAGUGGUAUUCUUUGAGGGGAACCUGAAAUCUGCUGAUAGAAUUGGUUUCUCUGCCACUAGUUUUCAUUAAAGCCAAAUGUAUCUGUGAAGUUAAUUCAUUAUCUCAUAGUAAAGAACAGCUCACACAUGUAAGCUGAAUUUGUUUUGUGAAAUGCACAGAUUAUUUUGCUUACAGGGUUUUAAAAUAUACUGUCUCCAGGCUGAACAAAUGCCUAGUUUCACUGGGCCCAGGUGAGAACAUCUGAUUAGGAGUUCUCAUCUAAAUAAGGUAUGAAAUUCCCAACCAGCUCUCCAGUGAGGGCUGAAUACAUGUGAAGAGAGCAGCAAAAUGUGUGUACCUCCAUCGAAUCUCUGUAGGUAAGCAUUAUCUUGACACUUUCAGCUGGUUUUCAGAGGUGUAUUAAGAACAGCUUAAAGAUACAAAGCACAUUUUCACAUUCUUGUUUGAAAGAUGGACACAGAAGUAUUAUGCAGGUGGUAUUUGAACCACAUCCCUUGGCUUCUAACCUUCACUGUCUUUUUGGUCGAGCCUCAGUUAUAAUUUUACUAAGAAAUAUAUUGAAUAUGCUCGAAUUGAUGUUAACUUCCAUUGUCACCAAAGGAGGGCAUUUAAAACCGUGAAUACUAUCACAGGAAGACGGAGCUGUUGAUUUGUAAUGGUGAUUUUGCUUUAAUAUGCACUUCUGCCACGUUGAAGUUCUCUAAGUUUAAUCGCUGUGUGAUAAGAAGAGGCAGCUUGUAGACAGGAUAUUAAACCUUGAUUUCUAUCAUACCAAACAAUUGCUGUAUCUUCACCACUUCUUAAAACUGACAUCCUUUCCUUUCAGGUUGACGUGUCCUACUGUAUUAUUUAAGACUUGAUUAUUGCAGUUGAAAUUGGGUUGUUUUUUUUUAGUGCAAAACUAUGUACUUUAAUGGCUGUAUUUCAUCCAUCUUCACUGUGAAUCUGAAUCUAACUUGAUGUCUCACAAACUGCCCAGUUGAUGCUUUCCUGGCCAGGUUUCCAUGUGAACAGAGUGAGCACACAGCUAUGUAAUGUGUCACCAAUCCAAUUGCAGGCAGCACAGUGCUUGGGAAAAGCUUUACCUGGUGUUCAUCAUGAGUAGGAGUCGUCCCCACCUGUGAAGCCUGGGUUCCUGAUGGAGAAGUUGCUGAUCCUCCUCACCUGUGUCAUCCAAGUGGUUUAGAGGAAUCAUGCCAUCGGACACAGAUCAGUAAUGCUUGUUGCUUGAUCCAACUGCUGUAUAGCUGAUGAAUUCAUGGAUUUAAGACAAAUAAUCCGUAUUUCAUUACUAGCAAGUGCUAGAAAUAAAAAUGUACUCUGCACUAUUGCUUGGAAAAACAAAUCCUGAAGUCGUAAGAGAGGAUUAAAGUUGAAAAAAAAUCUCUCAAGAGAAAAACGAAGGGAGUAAUGACAUCUGCUUAGCAGCAUCCAGCCCCUCAGCCUGCAGCACGGACCUCUGGAGCCCUUACACACGGAAUAAAAGGGGAUGCAGUGAGUGAGGAGCAGCAGAACUGCAAGCAGAGCAGCGCUACUGGUGUAAGAUGGCAUUAGGAAGAGUGGAGUUUUGUUAAUGGGUCAUGGAAAGUAGGUUCUACCUCUCAUAAUGCUAACUGUCUUAUUUUUGUUUCAUUUCCUUCCCAGGGUGGUGUUCUACCAUGGCGGUAAACAAAGCCAUCGGUUGCAGACUUCUGCACCAAUUCAGGUGGCUCCAUUGCAGGUGUAAGGUUGGAGGUGUGAGGUUUCUCAGCAGUGGGACGUUACCACCUAGCUGUGAGCUGGCUUCGCUCUGGUGGGUGUCCUGCUGUUGUUCCCCCACAGUGAGCUGUGUUCUGGUUCUGUUGGAAGGCUGCCCGGUCCUUCUGCCGGGUUUAUAUUCCACUGAAACGCGUGGCUAUUCAAGUGACCAACCUUUUGGAGUGUCUCGUUUGGCUUUGCCUUAAAUGUUUGCUGCUCCUACCCCUUCCCCCCUUCCUACAGAGGCCUUUUUAUAGGUGGCCUGUAGUGCCAUAAAGUUUUUGCUUAGAGUUGAGCAUUUUCCUAAGCUUAUGGGGUUAACCACGAUUAUGGGAGAGUUCUUGAAGCAUUUUUGAAUGUAAUGCUUUUAUUUAAUGUUUGUAAGCAAGUUCAAAGGUGUCAGAUACAAAUGUCCCAGUAUGGCACAAGGACGAGACGUGGCAUUGGGGAUUGGGCUGUUCUGUUGCUAGUGCACACAAAUGUGGCAAUGAACUUUUUCCCUCGUGCUUUAGAGCAUUAAAACAGCUGUUUUGGAUCAGAGCAAAGUGGGCAGCAGCUGUGGCAGUGAUCUGCCUGUGAUUAGUGGGCUCAGGCACUCGUGGAGUCACAGAUGGGCUUUGUGCUCUUAAGGGCACUGUGCUUUUAGGGCUCCCGCUUUUGCACCAGUGUACUUCUUAAAGUGCUAAAAGUUUUCCCAGCUGGAAGUCCUCACAGCAUCACACAGCAAAGAGCUCUGGGUUUCAGCAUCCACACAAAGGCAUCGCGCAGUCCGCCUGUGUUCCAAUGGGCACAAACAGCACUGAUUGCGUAUUAAAGCCAUUGUCACCAUCACAACCUGGGAGGAGAGCAGAGUGCCAGGACGCUGCAGGACCCCAAAGAUUAUGUCUUAUAAAUAAACAGCUCAAAUUUGUCUGAAGCCUCAGCGUGCGAUGUAUGGAGCGUUGCAUUCUGACCGUGUUACGCCAAGAUUGCUGCUAAUGGCUUUUGGCAGCACAGCCACCAAGUCAGAAAGCUGAGAUGAUUGCGGAUUGUCUGCUUCCAUACACAUCAUACAGCUGCCUGGGAGACGGUGGAGGCAGCGCCUAAUUGAUGUUUGUUCUUGUCAAUGUGUGAUCAGGUUUUGAUGCAAGGUUCUCCUCUUUUGUGCUCUUCUGGUCAAAUUUUCGUUUAAAUUUGUAUUCUGUGCUGAACAGUAGUGCCAGCAGAACCAUAAGCGAGGAGUUUAAAUUUAGGAUGUGUUGCAGAAAUCCAAAAAUGCUUUACUGUUUGGGUAAAAAUGUUUUUGUGUUUUUUUUCCCCUUCAGCUGCUGCUCUGCAUGCCAUAAAACAGCAAUCCGAAGGGUUUGCUCUGAAAGCAUCUCUUUGUGCCCUGGGCCAGUGACCCCACUGCUGUGCCAGUGAAUCAUGGCAAGCUGGAGGAAUCUCCCUGAUUUCUGAGCUCCUAAUCCCGCAAAGCCUGUAAAUGAUGGCUGGCUUAGCUUUGUUUCUGAUAAAACGAGGCUUAUGAG
ensembl:lncRNA